AUCCCUUGUUAAGCACAUCUGAGAAUUUGAACUGUUGAUACAAUGCAGGUUUCUCCGAGGAAACAAGCUCAGGCAAAGGUCCAUACACAUUUUCACUGAUGCCUGGAUCAAAGAAGACUGCCACAGAUACUCGUGGUUCAGACUUCUGGGAGGACAUGGGGAUCAAAAUGAUCAAAGAGUAUCCCUCCAACUGGCAGCAUCCGAUUGAAACAAGUCAAAGUUGGAGUAAAACCCGACUCCACCGCUGCUGCAAGUACUGGUAUCUCUCCUGUAAUGAUGAAUCUUCUCCUCCGGUUGCAGCUCAUGGAAAGACUUGAUUACUUUGAGCAGGCGAUCAAGGAGAGGGAUCGGGAUUCCAUGGUUGAUCACCUGAAAGAAUCCAAUCUUAGCUGAAGCAUCUCGGAUGCUCUUCACAAUCUCUGGUUUCCCAUUUGAAAGGUCAAUCACAGGUAUCAGAUCAUGAUCUGGAUCGCUUUUGGUGUUGGUGAGGUGAAACUGGGUGUCUGGUGGGUGGUGGAAGAUGUGGGGAAUUCUUGUCAUGCCUGAAUCAACCAGGCCUUUCACUCCGAGUUUCGUGUUGUCAAAUUCUUGCAGCUCUUUAUCACGGUCAUAUUCUGAGAGGUUACUGAUACUGGUAGUAUUUGUUGUCAUGAUUUUGUAAAAUUCUGAUGUUUGGGGCUCGGAAGAUAUAAUGGAGUUGGGAGGAACAUCUGGUUUAGUAAUUGCAUAUCAUAUACUCCGUACCAACUAAUAUUAAUUAAUUCCAACAAGAGAAUAAGAAAUGGUUAUAAUAAAUUAAUUAAUACAUAAGCAAAUCGAUUCAUAAAUAACUACAUCAUCAAGACAAGCAAAUUAUAACAACAUUAUUUAUUGUAGUCUAUCAGUUGUUUUCCAAACUGUAGUACUUGAUCAAAGACUUUCCAUCCAGUUCCUUUUUAAAGAACCUGGUAAUGAAAUCAGUGUAUGUAAAUUGCUUGUACAGUGCAGGCUCUUCAGGUGAUACUGUCUCUGGAAUCGGUCCAUACAAGUUGUCCCUCAUGCUAGGGUUGAAGAACACAGCAAUUGAGACCCGUGGUUCAUGCUGAGGAUUAGCAUACACUCGGUGUUCUACACUCGUGUACUUAUCAUUCGAGAGGAGCUGAAUAUAUAUAAAACAGAACCAAUCGGCUUUAACAAACUGAAACACUGAAACUACAGUAGUUAAGACUUUUAAGGGAAAAAUAUAGGAAUGUGACUGUUUUUUAUACCUGAAGCAAGUCGCCAACAUUGAUAACAAGUGCGCCUUGGAUUGGCUUGACAUUAACCCAUUUCCCGUCAUGUUUAACUUGCAACCCACCAACUUGAUCUUGCAGCAACACUGUGAGAACACCAGGAUCAGUAUGGGACGCGAUCCCAACUGUCUUGUUGGGUUCGGGACAAUAUGGAUAAUAAUGGCCAACCAUAACUCUGCCUCCUGAACAUGACAUCUCUUUCAACUUAUCAGCCUCCACUCCCAAUCCUUGAGAGAAUAACCCCAAGAGUGUCUCACCUAGCUGUUUUACUUCCUUAUCCCACUCAAUAAUCUCAUCUCUGC